UAUACAGUUUAUACCAGUGGUUCUGAAACUUGAGCAUGUAUCAGAAUCCCCUGAAAGACUUGUUAAAACACAGAUUCCUGGGUCCCAUUUUCAGAGUUUCUGAUUUCUAAG